rnacentral:rRNA from 1 species
GAUGAACGCUGGCGGCAUGCCUAAUACAUGCAAGUCGAGCGAACAGACGAGGAGCUUUCUCCUCUGACGUUAGCGGCGGACGGGUGAGUAACACGUGGAUCACCUACCUCUAAUACUUGGAUAACUUCGGAAAACCGGAUCUAAUACCAGAUAAUAUAUUCAACCGCAGGGUUCAAUAGUUAAAGACGCUUUUGCUGUCACUUAUAGAUGAAUCCGCGCCGAAUUAGCUAGUUGGUAAGGUAACGGCUUACCAAGGCAACGAUGCGUAGCCGACCUGAGAGGGUGAUAGGCAACACUGGAACUGAGAAACGGUCAGAACUCCAAGGGGAGGAAGAGGUGGGAAAUUUUGACAAAUGGGGGAAGGCCUGACCAGGCAAGCCGGGGUGAGUAAGGAAGGCCUUCGGUUGGUAAAGCCCUUUUUUUGGGAAAGAACAAUGUGUAAGUAAAUCUGCACGUAUUGACGGUACCUAAUGAGAAAGCCACGGCUAACUACGUG